AAUAAUAAAAUCAUUUCUAAUAUAUAUAUAGACAUCGGAGCGUCUUUCUCAUAAAGAAAAAGAGAAAGGAAACCAAGAUCUGGUCGCCGCCACUAGAUCUUGAUCAUCUGGUUCUUCUGAUGGAUGAGAUGAUCAAUCCUCAUGGAUCAAAUGCCUUCAAGUCCGUUUCAGAUUGCAUCCUUAUCUCUACAAGUCACCGAUUCAGAGCGACGAAGCUGCCUGCAAUCUCAGCUCCUUCCUGCUCACACCGGGCUGCAAUAAUCGCAAGUUCAGUGAGUUAAAGAUAGAAUUUUUGAAAGCUGAUCAAUCGCGUUGACAACAACAACACACUCACAGCAAGUUAUGUUUUCCCGGUUGAAGAUAGAAUCAAGAUGUGAAGUGUACAUACAGGACAUAAGAAAAGAAGAUGUAAGAGUGACUCUAUGGGGAGACCUUGCACAUGGGUUUGAAACAGACCGUAUUAGAGAACUUCCUCCGCCAGUUUUAGACUUUUAGUCGUCUUCACAAGUCUGAGGGUAAAAACAUUUCAAGAGUACAGAAUUGUUUCCGAUGUGGCUGGACUUCUGGUUGUCCUUACUUAAAAAUCUAAGGUUACUUUGAUUGGUUACCUAACCAAAACUGGUUUGAGAGCAAUUGAUUAUAGAAUCACUUAAUCACUCACAAACACACACGCCUGAUUCAAAACAGAAGAAUCCAUGGUCAACAUUGAUCUACCAAUGACAUGAAUAGCAGGGUAUGUAUUUUUUCUUCUUUGUGAAAUUGGAUAAGCACCAAGCUUAUGUUUUCGUAUUUCAAAAGUUACUAUCACUUCAUAUUAACAUUGUCUGAUGUAGUAGCUCGUGAUUGAAGGAGAAGAUGGAUAGCGUUGCUGCUGGUAUAGGAACAUUUCAACUUCCAAUUAGUUUAACGUACAUCAACUUCUAGAUAGUUUUAUGUAUGCAAAAUUUUUUGUCUUCAACUAGGAGUAUUGUUGAUCAGAAGGGAGUGCUUUGGAUCCACAUGAAAUGAUUUCAUAUUUGAAUGAUUAUUUUUUUUAAUUUGAAAUUUCUGAAGUCACCAUUGUCAACAAUGGUGUGAAAUUAGAGGCACCAUUGGCAUGGUAGGACCCACAAUUCUAAAGCACCAAAAUUCUGGUAGUGUCUCUUUGGGUAUAUGUCACGGCAGCAAAUCAAACCAACCCAGUGUUUAAAGUGGUGGCUAUUGGGUUUUCACACCAAUGAUUGGAGUCUAUUCCAUCAAUACACACCAUUUGGAAUGGUGUUGAUAGCCUAGUUUUGUUGUAGUGUACUCCUAACUGACAGUAGAUGUUAAUCCCUCACAAAAAUGUAACUAGUCUGAAACUUGAUUAUCACAUCUGUAUACACCCUAAAUACAGUUUAUCAAGAUCAACAGAUCAAAACAGGAGGCAAAAAAUUGUAAAGAACGACAUGAUUGAAUGAAGCUUCUUGUGUGUUUGAAUUCUUUGUAUUUUCAUUCAAUCUGAAUUGAAUUUGGUCCACGAAUCUAAGAAAUAGUGAAAA